rnacentral:tRNA from 2 species
ACGCCGGUAGCUCAAUUGGUAGAGCAGCGGAUUCCAAAUCCGCAGGUUGGGGGUUCGAUUCCUCCCCGGCGUG